ACGUAGGGGGCAAGCGUUGUCCGGAAUUACUGGGCGUAAAGCGCACGCAGGCUGAAUUAUAGGUCGGUAGUCAAAUACGGAGGCUCAACUUCCGGAUAUCUAUCGAUACUGUAAAUCUAGAGUAUGUGAGAGGGAGGCGGAAUUCCCGGUGUAGCGGUGUAAUGCGUAGAUAUCGGGAGGAACACCAGUGGCGAAGGCGGCUUCCUGGCACAAUACUGACGCUCAUGUUCGAAAGCUAGGGCAGCGAAUGG
rnacentral:rRNA from 1 species